CAUACCAAAACUUAUGAGACACAACAAAAGCAGUGCCAAGGGGGAAGUUUCUAGCUAUAAAUUCUUACAUUAAAAAAUAAGAGUCUGGUCUGAAGAAAGCAAAAUUAAAAAUUAUUUAAAAAAUAAGAAAAAUAUCAAAUCACCAACCGGACUUUCCAAUUUAAGGAACUGAAAAGGAAGAGCAAACUAAACCCAGAGCUAGCAGUAGAAAGGAAGUAGUAAAGAUUAGAAUAGAUAUAAAUGAAAUAGAGACUAGAAAAAUAAUAUAGAAAAAUCAAAAUGAAACCAAAAGUUGGUUAUUCAAAAAUCAAAAAACUUUGCAAAUCUCUAGCUAGAUCUACUUAUAACAAAGGAGACAAGUCAGAAAUGAAAAUGAAGACAUUACUACCAUUUCUACAGAAAUGAAAAGAGUUAUAGGGGAAUACUGUCAGCAAUUGUCUGCCAAGAAAUUGGAUAACCCAAGUGAAAUGGAGAAAUUCCUAGAAACACUAAACCUACCAGGCUAAACCAUGAAGAAAUAAAAAAUAUGAGUAGAUUUGUAACUACUAAAGAGAUUCAAUCAGUAAUCAAACAUCUCCUGUCAAAGAAAAGCCCUAAACCUGAUGGCUUCACUGAUUAAUUCUACCAAGCAUUUAAAGAAGAACUGUAUCAAUCAUUUCAGACUUCCCAAAAAUUGAAGAUGAGGGCAUACCCUUAACACGUUCUAUGAGGCCAGCAUUAACCUAAUACCAAAGCCAGUAAAGGUACUACAGGAAAACUACAGACCAGUAUCCCUUAUGAAGACUGAUGCAAAAAUCCUCAGAAAGGUACUUGCAAACAGAAUUCAGCAGUAUAGUUAAAGGAUUAUACAGUUUAAGUCAUCACUUAAUGUUGAUAGGUACUUGGAAACUGUGACUUUAAGCAAAUGAUACAUCAGGAAGCCAGUUUUGCCAUAGGCUUGCCAGGCACACUGCCUCACACCUGUAAUCCCAGCACUUUGGGAGGCUGAGAUGGGAGGUUCACUUGAGCUCAGGAGUUCAAGACCAGCCUGGGCAAUAGAGUGAGCCUCGUCUCUACCAAAAACAAAAAAAAAAGCCUGUAGUCCUAGCUACUUGGGAGGCUGAGGUGGAAGGAUCACUUGAAUCCGGGAGGUAGAGAUUACGGUGAGCUGAGGUUGAGCCAUUGUGCUCUAGCCUAGCCAACAGAGGAAGACUCUGUCUCAAAAAAAAAAAAAAAGGCUAAUUUAUAUAAACAAGAAUUAAGUUCCUACAGAUGUUUUAUAAACAUCAUCAAAGUUCUAAAGAAAGACCCAAAACAUCUCCAGUUUUAAACAUUGAAAUAAAUGCAAGCUACAUGUACAUUUAAAAAAAGAUUAAUAGAAACAAGUAAAAUAUUUACCUAAUCUCUGGCAAAUCUAUGAGUGACAAGUGGUUGUAGUAAUGGUGAGUUAAAUCAAAGAGUAAAUGCUUGCAAAGAGAAAAUUGUAAAGAGCACACAGUUCAUAAACAAUAACAGGUCAUGCCUAUAAUCCCAGUACUUUUGGGAGGCUGAGGCCAGAGGAUCCCUUAAGCCCAGGACAUUGAGACCAGCUUGGGCAACAUAGUAAGACAUCAUCUCUACAAAAAAAUUAAAAACACAAAUGAGCUGAGCACGAUGGUGCACACAUGUAGUCCCAGCUACUCAGGAGGCUGCGGUGGGAGAACCACUUGAGUCCCAGAGGUCAAGGCUGCAGUGAGCCAUUUUUGUGUCACUGCACUCCAACCGGGGUGCGAGUCUGUCUAAAAAAACAACAACAACAACAACAAAAUGGAGGAGGCAGAGCAAGACAGCUAAAUAGAAGCCUCCACCAAUUGUGGAGGUGUCUCCUGACAGGGACACCAAAUUUAACCACUAUCUAUAUUAAAAAGCACCUUCAUAAGAACCAAAAAUCAGGUGAGCACUCAUAGUACCUGGUUUUAACUUCAUAUGACUGAAAGAGACACUGAGGAGGGUAGGAAAGACAGUCUUAAAUUGCUAACACCUCCCCUUCCCCAGCCCCCAGCAGUGGCCACGUGGCACACAGAGAGACUCUACAGUUGAAGGAGGGAGAUCGCAGUGAUUGUGGGACUGUGUUGGAAUUUAGUGCUCCCAUGUUGCAGUUGAGAGCAACACUGGGCAGAACUCAGCCAGCAUCCUCAGAGGGAGCAUUUAGACCAGCCCUAGCCAGAGGGAAUUUGCCCAUCCCAGAGGUCAGAACAUGAGUUUCAGCAAGCUUUGCCACCAUGGGCUAACAUGCCCUACAGUCCUAAAUAAACCUGAAAGACGGUCUAGGCCACAAGGACUGCAUCUCCUAGAAAGUUCUUUUUUUUUUUUUUUUUUGGGUGUGAUUGUGCACACCUGUAAUCCCAGCUAUUCGGGAGGCUGAUACAGGAGAAUCGCUUAAACCCGGGAGACAGAGGUUGCAGUGAGCCGAGAUUGUGCCACUGCACUCCAGCCUGGGUGACAGAGUGAGGCUCUGUCUCAAAAAAAAAAAAAAAUCAAUCAAUAUUCAAGUACAAGGUGGUUAUAGAACACUAAGCCCAUUUAACCCAAAGAAGACUACCUCAAGGCAUUUAAUAAUCAAACUCCCAAAGGUCAAAAAUAAAAAAGGGAUCCUAAAAGCAGCAAGAGAAAAGAAACAACAUACAAUGGAGGCCAGGCAUGGUGGCUUACGCCUGUAAUUGAGCACUUUGGGAGGCUGAGACCAAGUGGAUCGCUUGAGGUCAGGAGUUCAGCCUGGCCAACGUGGCAAAACCCUGUCUCUACUAAAAAUACAAAAAUUAGCCGGGCAUGGUGGUGUGUGCCUGUAAUUCCAGCUACCCAGGAGGCUGAGGCAUGAGAAUCAUUUGAACAUGGGAGACAAAGGUUGCAGUGAGCCAAGAUCGUGCCACUCCACCACAGUCUGGGUGACAAAGUGAGACUCUGUCUCAAAGAAAAGCAAACAAAAAAACCACAUACAAUGGAACUCCAAUAGGUCUGGCAACAGACUUUUCAGUGGAAACCUUAUAGGCCAGGAGAGAAUGGCAUGACAUAUUUUAGGUGCUGAAGGAAAAAAACUUUUACCUUCAAAUAGUAUACCCAGCAAAAAUGUCCUUCAAACAUGAAGGAGAAAUACUUUCCCAGACAGACAAAAGCUGAGGGAUUUCAUCAACACCAGACCUGUCUUACAAGAAAUGCCAAAAGGAGUUCAAUCUGAAAGAAAACGAUGUUAAUGAGCAAUAAGAAAUCAUCUGAAGGUACAAAACUCACUGGUAACAGUAAAUAGAAAAAUACAGAAUAUUGUAACUGUAAUUGAGGUGUGUAAAUGACUCAUAUCUUAAGUAGAACAAUAAAAAUGAAUCGAUCAGGCUGCGUGCAGUGGCUCACGCCUGUAAUCCCAACACUUUAGGAGGUGGAGGUGGGUGGAUCACCUGAGGUCAGGAGUUCCAGACCAGCCUGGCCAACAUGGUGAAACCCG
rnacentral:lncRNA from 1 species